rnacentral:lncRNA from 1 species
UUGAGAUACAUAAUUAAAAGCUAUGAAUCAACAAACAAACUUGAAGAUUAUAGGAGUUGGGGUACUUAGUUUGAGUUUUUUUGUUGGAGCUCGUCGAAGGAUAAUUCCAGAUUCAAGACCUGUAAUUAGAUUCACAAACUAAUCCAAAGAAUGUUGUCAAAGUUUGUCAUAAGAAAAAACUUUAAACAAUAGUUACCUCUACAUUCAGUUAAUAGUUGCAACUCCCAAGUCCCAAGUAGAAGAAGUCUUCAAUGGUGCUUGAAUCAUGACGUCUGUGAGAUUUUAGAUGUCUGAAUGAUUUCAACCCGUACUUGGUAGCGUUACACGAUUACUAUGAUAUGGCGAUAAGUUUGUGAAGGUGAGGCUUUCCCAGCGAUUUGAAGAAAGCAACGAUGAGCUUCCUAGUCUGAAGAUGAAGAUGAAGGAUCGUUUUGGAAAAGUUGAAUUUUCU